rnacentral:rRNA from 1 species
GACGAACGCUGGCGGCGUGCCUAAUACAUGCAAGUCGAACGCACAGUUUAUACCGUAGCUUGCUACACCAUAGACUGUGAGUUGCGAACGGGUGAGUAACGCGUAGGUAACCUGCCUGGUAGCGGGGGAUAACUAUUGGAAACGAUAGCUAAUACCGCAUAAUAUUAAUUAUUGCAUGAUAAUUAAUUGAAAGGUGCAAUUGCACCACUACCAGAUGGACCUGCGUUGUAUUAGCUAGUAGGUGAGGUAACGGCUCACCUAGGCGACGAUACAUAGCCGACCUGAGAGGGUGAUCGGCCACACUGGGACUGAGACACGGCCCAGACUCCUACGGGAGGCAGCAGUAGGGAAUCUUCGGCAAUGGACGAAAGUCUGACCGAGCAACGCCGCGUGAGUGAAGAAGGUUGUCGGAUCGUAAAGCUCUGUUGUAAGAGAAGAACGGGUGUGAGAGUGGAAAGUUCACACUGUGACGGUAGCUUACCAGAAAGGGACGGCUAACUACGUG